CGCGCAGCGGGCACCCCAGGUAGCCGAGCCCAGUGGCGUGCAGUUCAGACAUGUGCUCGAUCGCGCCGGCCUCGAUGAGUUGGGCGUCGUGGCGCACGACGGCCCACGCGCGCUCCAGGAGGACGGUCGCCGCCGCGGCGUCUGCCGGACCAAAGGUCGCCUCCCCCAGGUCCUCGCGCUCGUCGCAAUCCCACGCGUAUAGAUCGUCCUCUUCCGUCGCCGACUGGGCAUGCCGUCGCGCCCGUUCCAUUUUUUUUUCUUUGUCUUUCUAGCCCUUGUUUUUCGCUGCCGCCCUGUGUCUUGCCACUUUAAAAAAAUCUAUUUCUCCUUGUGGACCG
rnacentral:lncRNA from 1 species